AAGCAAACAAGGUAUGAUCUAUGCAGUUGUUCAUCUGAAUUGUUUGUUUCUAGGCGGUGUAGGACGAGCUGCAGCAGGACAACCUGGAGCGGAAGAACUUCGAGGGUAAGAUCAAGGAGAACCAGGAGACGAUAACCGGUUACCUCAUCCUCGUCGGCAUGCUUGGCUUCUUUGGCAGUCCCCUCUUUGGCUCCGACCAACUUACUUCUGUCGCUGGCUAGCAGCAUUUCCAGGUGUUGUGUUCUGGAAGAUGAAAGAGGAAGAAAAUUUAUUUUUGUUGAACUAAAUUUUUUGUAUUCUGUUUUGUUGUACGUAUGAUUUGAUAGUUUUGUAUAGGAACAUGUGAUACUAUUUUGUAGGGCUUUAUGGCCUGUGAUGUAAACAUAUUUAGUGAUGAAUUAUGAAAUUAUUUGCAAAAUUUAUUGAAAAGGAGAAUCAUUUGUAUGAA